rnacentral:rRNA from 1 species
AACGAACGCUGGCGGCAUGCCUAACACAUGCAAGUCGAACGAUGCUUUCGGGCAUAGUGGCGCACGGGUGCGUAACGCGUGGGAAUCUGCCCUUUGGUUCGGAAUAACAGUUAGAAAUGACUGCUAAUACCGGAUGAUGACGUUAAGUCCAAAGAUUUAUCGCCAGAGGAUGAGCCCGCGUAGGAUUAGCUAGUUGGUGUGGUAAAGGCGCACCAAGGCGACGAUCCUUAGCUGGUCUGAGAGGAUGAUCAGCCACACUGGGACUGAGACACGGCCCAGACUCCUACGGGAGGCAGCAGUGGGGAAUAUUGGACAAUGGGCGCAAGCCUGAUCCAGCAAUGCCGCGUGAGUGAUGAAGGCCUUAGGGUUGUAAAGCUCUUUUACCCGUGAUGAUAAUGACAGUAGCGGGAGAAUAAGCCCCGGCUAACUCCGUGCCAGCAGCCGCCGUAAUAC